rnacentral:rRNA from 1 species
UAAAGUUGUUGCGGUUAAAAAGCUCGUAGUCGGAGGUGUGUCUCGGACGGUCGGUUCGCCGCUCGCGGUGCUCAACUGGCCGGUCCGGACGUCCUGCCGGUGGGGCUGUAAAAGGCUCCGUUAUCCUUCUUUGGUCCUCUUCAUUGAGUGCCUUGGUGGGCCGGCACGUUUACUUUGAACAAAUUAGAGUGCUCAAAGCAGGCCGUUGGUCGCCUGAAUACUGUGUGCAUGGAAUAAUAGAAUAGGACCUCGGUUCCAUUUUGUUGGUUUUCAGAACUCGAGGUAAUGAUUAAUAGGGACGGACGGGGGCAUUCGUAUUGCGACGUUAGAGGUGAAAUUCUUGGAUCGUCGCAAGACGAACCGAUGCGAAAGCAUUUGCCAAGAACGUUUUCGUUGAUCAAGAACGAAAGUUAGAGGUUCGAAGGCGAUCAGAUACCGCCCUAGUUCUAACCAUAAACGAUGCCAGCUAGCCAUCCGCCGAAGUUCCUUAUAUGACUCGGCGGGCAGCUUCCGGGAAACCAAAGCUCUUGGGUUCCGGGGGAAGUAUGGUUGCAAAGCU